GGGGGGCGGUGGCGGGGGGGGGGGGGGGGGCGGGGGGGGCGGGGGGGGGCCGCGGGGGGCGGAGGCGUGGGGCACGGGGGGGUAAUGCGCCGGAACGGGCCCGGGCGUGGGGGAGAACUACUCGGAGGAGUAGCUAGGCCCGCCUACGAGAUGUGGACGAAGGCGGGGGAGCGCGAGGCCUCGCGCGCUUGGAGCGGCCGAUGCCAGAUUAGGGAGUUGGUGGGGUAAAGGCUCACCAAGCCAACGAUCUGUAGCUGGUCUGAGAGGACGACCAGCCACACUGGGACUGAGACACGGCCCAGACUCCUACGGGAGGCAGCAGUGGGGAAUUUUGGACAAUGGGCGCAAGCCUGAUCCAGCAAUGCCGCGUGCAGGAAGAAGGCCUUCGGGUUGUAAACUGCUUUUGUACGGAACGAAACGGCUCUGGUUAAUACCCGGGGCUAAUGACGGUACCGUAAGAAUAAGCACCGGCUAACUACGUG
rnacentral:rRNA from 1 species